CUACCAUACACGCUUGUCAGAAGCUGUCCACACUCUAGCUGCAAGGGAAUCAAAUAAAUGUCCUACCACCAGAAAUGGCUCGUUUGAAUUUCUUAACGGAGAAGAGUUGUUUUAAAAUAUACGACAAUCCUUUGAUUGAAGAGUUACAGAGUCUGUCCACAGCUGUCAAACAACUCUUUGAUUAUGUAAAGACGGAGGAAUACAGACUUAUAUGCUGAGUUCAAUGAAGCUGGAAAGUUUACAAAAGUCAAGAGAGACUAUUGUUCGGCU